AAAAUAUGUAUGCAUCAUGUAUGUGUUUGUUUAUUGGCUGUCUCUCACUGAUGGGACAGGAACUUUGUUUUGUUCACUGUUCUCCAAGGCUUAGAACAAUGUCUGGCACUUAUUAGGUUUUCACUGAAAAAUGCGUUGAAUGAAUGAACAAGUGGGUUCUCUGUAUUAGACGGCCGUCGACACUUGUCAGUGCCUUCAUGAUCCAAAGACCCAUGUGGAAAGAAUUUUAAGGUGGUCUGGAUCUGAUGUUUAAAGCAUAUGCAGGAAUGUAAGCUCUCAGUUCUUUUGCCCCAUGAAUUUGGUUGUAUCUGAAAAGUAGGACUUGCCAAAUAGAGCAGGUAGAUAUAGUAGGUGCUCAAUAAUUGUGUAUUCAGGAAAUAAGUUGUGAGGUUUUGAGGAUUAGAGACUGGUGUCUGUUUUAUCUUGAUAACCCUCCCAGCCCUUUGCCUGCUGCCAGGCUGCCCAACCUUUGCUUCUGUCCUGGAAGAGAAGAAUUUGCCAAGUGGACCCGGCCUACUGUGUUGUGGCAACGUUUAGUCAGCGCACUUGUUUUCGAGAAGCAGCUACAAGGAGACCAGUGUGCAAGUUCCAGGCCAAAGACUAGGUGAAGGAGGUACCAUUUCCAGGAAGUUUUUUCUUUUAUUUCCUCCGAUCCUUCCCAUCAAAAACAUCACUCUUCAUAGGAUUUAGUAUCAGCUUGUCUUAGACUCUGAAACAAGUUUCUAAAACAGGGUUUUAGAAAAUACUCAUGAUUUCCUUUGUCCUUCUCCUAAAGAACUUCCAUCACGUCAAAUACACCUCCUCUCCUCGGCUUUUGGAAGACCCAGGACUUCAGAGGUCUACCCGGUGCUUCGCCCAGAGAAAUUGCUCUGUAAACAGAUGCUGCAUGAAUGCAUGUGUUGUUCUCUUUAGAAAGAGCCACCGGACACUCAGUUCCACAACUGGUUAGCUCUCACCUGGGAUCCACUUGUGGUUCAACAUACUAUUUUUUUCUCUCUGGUUUCAGAUACACUUAGGAGUCCUUCCAGUACCUUUUCCAUCAGAUUGUCAUCGAAAUGUAGGUCAGAAGUAAAGAAGACCAGCAUUUAUUGAAGAGUGGCAUCAAUGCAUUAAAGGGUACCCUGGUGGCCUGAAAGACUUAAUGCAGCUUUUUCAAAUGGCUAAUUUAUACACUGGGCUACUCCAGCUCACCCCGGCGCACUGGCUCACAUUAUACAGGAAAGUAGAUGGAACACACAUAUAAUAGGCAGUAGCUGGGCUCAGUUAUGACCUUAUUUUCACUGAUAAAGACAAAUCUCGUAAUUCACUGGUGGUGGUGCCAGUCUUUUUCCCCCGGACUCAUGAGGAUACAAGUCACAUCCACUGAGCCUGCUCUGUGUGUGACAAGGAAACUCAGGCGGCCAAUCAUUGCAAAGAAGAGGGCAUCGUUGAGACACGGAGCUUCUCUGAGCACCAAAUCUCGCUAAGCUGGCCUUGCACUGGACAAAGGACAAGGCCCCCGGUGGGGACUCUAGCUGCUGCAGGGGCCCUUGUGUCUUCAGGACGACUGGCGCUUUACCACAAGGAGCAGCGAUCAUGAUGAAAAGUCAGAGCUGAGAUGUCAGCCCCAGGAAAUGCUCCAAGGGAAUGCAGUGGUGGCCGGCUCUAAAAAGAUCCCGGUCUAGCAUGGACUUCCUGGAGCAUUGCCGUCCUCUGCUUCCCGGAAUGCACAGGAUUCAGUGACGAUACUCAUGGAUUCAGAUGUGGCUCAGGCACCACCACUUGGUCAAGCCUUCCUGAUACCAGCCCCAGCAACAUGAUAUGCUUGUCCUCUGCACUCCCAUGGCUGCUUGUGUAUACCUGGGUCACGGCAUUUCCCAGUCUCACAGGUUACAGUAGGUAAGGUGUGUUUCUGUCUUUCCCACAAAACUGGGAGCUCUUUAAUGUUAAGAUCAUAUCUUAUUAAUCUUGGUUUUCCUUCAUGCCUACUACAGUGCCUGACAUAAUAGAAGGACUCAAUAAAAGUUGGUUCAGUGUAACAUAGGUAGGUGGGUAGGAUCAAAGAAAUCCAUAAAAGACAUUUUAAAGGCAAUGAAUUUCAACUGAAUUGCAAGCUGAUUGGACUCUAAUUUCUUAUUUAUCAUGGGAUUUAGAUUGUACUUUGUGCAAUUGUGAAGUGUUUUCUAAGCCUUGGGAUACUUCACGCUAUUUGCAAAGUAUUUCCAGGCAAAUUAUUGAGAUUUAAAAAUGUGCAAGAAAUUUCAGAGGCCCCUGUAUAAACAUAUAUUAACACAUCUCUUGGGAGAUUACAGCAUUUAUCCAUAAUACAGGUGGGGAUACUGAAGCCUGGGAAAGAGAGACCGUGGAGUUAUUGAGACCCUGAAUUUCUUGCCUUAUUUAAAUCAUACUAUGGUUAAAGCUGAAGUUUGAAGCCGUUUUCAUAUUGACUCUAUACACCACUCAACUAGCCUCGUAAAGUGUCUGGAUCAUGUCUGAUUAACAAAUACUAUCAUUGGGGCGCCUGGGUGGCUCAGUCGUUAAGCGUCUGCCUUCAGCUCGGGUCAUGAUCCCAGGGUCCUGGAAUCGAGUCCCACAUCGGGCUCCCUGCUCUGCAGGAAGCUUGCUUCUCCCUCUCCCACUCCCCCUGCUUGUGUUCCCUCUCUCGCUGUGUCUCUCUCUGUCAAAUAAAUAAAA